AGUGAACGCUGGCGGUAGGCCUAACACAUGCAAGUCGAACGGCAGCACAGUAAGAGCUUGCUCUUACGGGUGGCGAGUGGCGGACGGGUGAGGAAUACAUCGGAAUCUACUUUUUCGUGGGGGAUAACGUAGGGAAACUUACGCUAAUACCGCAUACGACCUACGGGUGAAAUCAGGGGAUCUUCGGACCUUGCGCGAUUGAAUGAGCCGAUGUCGGAUUAGCUAGUUGGCGGGGUAAAGGCCCACCAAGGCGACGAUCCGUAGCUGGUCUGAGAGGAUGAUCAGCCACACUGGAACUGAGACACGGUCCAGACUCCUACGGGAGGCAGCAGUGGGGAAUAUUGGACAAUGGGCGAAAGCCUGACCCAGCCAUACCGCGUGGGCGAAGAAGGCCUUCGGGCUGUAAAGCCCUUUUGUUGGGAAAGAAAAGCAGUAGGUUAAUACCCCGCUGUUCUGACGGUACCCAAAGAAUAAGCACCGGCUAACUUCGUG
rnacentral:rRNA from 1 species